GCACGGUGGAGGUAGCAUCAUGAUGUGAAGCACGGUGGUGGCAGCAUCAUGACGUGAAGCACGGUGGAGGCAGCAUCAUGAUGUGAAGCACGGUGGAGGCAGCAUCAUGAUGUGAAGCACGGUGGUGGCAGCAUCAUGAUGUGAAGCAUGGUGGAGGUAGCAUCAUGACGUGAAGCACGGUGGAGGCAGCAUCAUGAUGUGAAGCACGGUGGAGGCAGCAUCAUGACGUGAAGCACGGUGGAGGCAGCAUCAUGAUGUGAAGCACGGUGGUGGCAGCAUCAUGACGUGAAGCACGGUGGAGGCAGCAUCAUGAUGUGAAGCACGGUGGAGGUAGCAUCAUGACGUGAAGCACGGUGGAGGCAGCAUCAUGACGUGAAGCACGGUGGAGGCAGCAUCAUGACGUGAAGCACGGUGGAGGCAGCAUCAUGAUGUGAAGCACGGUGGUGGCAGCAUCAUGAUGUGAAGCACGGUGGAGGCAGCAUCAUGACGUGAAGCACGGUGGAGGCAGCAUCAUGAUGUGAAGCACGGUGGAGGCAGCAUCAUGACGUGAAGCACGGUGGAGGCAGCAUCAUGAUGUGAAGCACGGUGGUGGCAGCAUCAUGAUGUGAAGCACGGUGGAGGCAGCAUCAUGAUGUGAAGCACGGUGGUGGCAGCAUCAUGAUGUGAAGCACGGUGGUGGCAGCAUCAUGAUGUGAAGCACGGUGGAGGCAGCAUCAUGACGUGAAGCACGGUGGAGGCAGCAUCAUGACGUGAAGCACGGUGGUGGCAGCAUCAUGAUGUGAAGCACGGUGGAGGCAGCAUCAUGACGUGAAGCACGGUGGAGGCAGCAUCAUGACGUGAAGCACGGUGGAGGCAGCAUCAUGAUGUGAAGCACGGUGGAGGCAGCAUCAUGACGUGAAGCACGGUGGAGGCAGCAUCAUGAUGUGAAGCAUGGUGGA